CAGUAGCCACGGUAAUACGGAGGGUGCAAGCGUUAUCCGGAUUUAUUGGGUUAAAGGGUCCGUAGGCGGACUUAUAAGUCAGUGGUGAAAGCCUGUCGCUUAACGAUAGAACUGCCAUUGAUACUGUAAGUCUUGAGUAUAUUUGAGGUAGCUGGAAUAAGUAGUGUAGCGGUGAAAUGCAUAGAUAUUACUUAGAACACCAAUUGCGAAGGCAGGUUACCAAGAUAUAACUGACGCUGAGGGACGAAAGCGUGGGUAGCGAACAGGAUUAGAUACCCCGGUAGUCCCUGUCUCUUAUACA
rnacentral:rRNA from 1 species